rnacentral:tRNA from 1 species
GGACGAGUGGCGGAAUUGGCAUACGCGUACGUUUCAGAAGCGUAUCUCGCAAGAGGUGGGGGUUCAACUCCCCCCUCGUCCA